UAUGGCUUGCAGCAUCUCCCCGUGAGAUGUUGGGUUAAGUCCCGCAACGAGCGCAACCCCUGUCCUUCGUUGCCAGCAUGUAAUGGUGGGAACUCAAGGGAGACUGCCGGUGACAAACCGGAGGAAGGUGGGGAUGAGGUCAAGUCAUCAUGGCCCUUACGCCCAGGGCUACACACCUGAUACAAUGGCGCGUACAGAGGGCUGCAAGCAAGCGAUAAGGAGCGAAUCCCAAAAAGCGCGUCGUAGUCCGGAUCGGAGUCUGCAACUCGACUCCGUGAAGUCGGAAUCGAUUGUAAUCGCAAAUCAGCUCGUUGCGGUGAAUACGUUCCCGGUCCUUGUACACACCCCCCCUCACACCCAAGCAAUGGAAGCACCAGAACUAGAAAGCUUAACCUUCAACAGGACGUCACCACUACCCG
rnacentral:rRNA from 1 species